GAUGAACGCUGGCGGCGUGCCUAAUACAUGCAAGUCGAGCGAACAGACGAGGAGCUUGCUCCUCAGACGUUAGCGGCGGACGGGGGAGUAAAACGUGGAUAACCUACCUAUAAGACUGGGAUAACUUCGGGAAACCGGAGCUAAUACAGGAUAAUAUAUUGAACCGCAUGGUUCAAUAGUGAAAGACGGUUUUGCUGUCACUUAUAGAUGGAUCCGCGCCGCAUUAGCUAGUUGGUAAGGUAACGGCUUACCAAGGCAACGAUGCGUAGCCGACCUGAGAGGGUGAUCGGCCACACUGGAACUGAGACACGGUCCAGACUCCUACGGGAGGCAGCAGUAGGGAAUCUUCGGCAAUGGGCGAAAGCCUGACGGAGCAACGCCGCGUGAGUGAUGAAGGUCUUCGGAUCGUAAAACUCUGUUAUUAGGGAAGAACAAAUGUGUAAGUAACUAUGCACGUCUUGACGGUACCUAAUCAGAAAGCCACGGCUAACUACGUG
rnacentral:rRNA from 1 species